rnacentral:rRNA from 1 species
UACAGAGGUCUCAAGCGUUGUUCGGAUUCAUUGGGCGUAAAGGGUGUGUAGGUGGCGCCGUAAGUCGGGUGUGAAAUUUCGGAGCUUAACUCCGAAACUGCAUUCGAUACUGCGGUGCUUGAGGACUGGAGAGGAGACUGGAAUUCAUGGUGUAGCAGUGAAAUGCGUAGAUAUCUGGAGGAACACCGGUGGCGAAGGCGGCAUCCUGGACCGACACUGACGCUGAGGAGCGAAAGCCAGGGGAGCAAACGGG